UUUCGUCUGCUCUUGUUAUUCUGUUCGGAUCUGGGAUGAGAGCCUGCAAACCCUAGUCCCACUCGCUUCACUCUUCUUGCCCGCGGCAGGCCCCAAAUCCAGCUCCCCUCUCCCACUCCCACCGCCGGCCGGCCGCCACCGUCCACGCCAAUGGCCUCGCCUUCGCCUCCCCCCACGCCGCCCACCGCCGACGAGCCUCCGCCUCCGCCUACUCCUGACGCAGACGCCCCCUCCCCGCCCACGGACGCCGAAUCCCCCCCGCCGCUCCCGGAGGCCGACGCCCCUGCCGCGCCGCCCCCGGACGCCGGCUCCCCGCCGCCGCAGCAGCAGCCGCACCUCCCGGACGGCAUCCUGGAGGACAUCUUCCUGCGCCUGACAACAGCGGGGGACGUCGCGCGGGCGUCGGCCGCGUGCGCCUCCUUCCGGGCCAUCACGUCGGCCCUCCCGUUCCGGCGCCGCUUCCGCGCGCUCCACAGGGCCCCGGUGCUCGGCUUCCUCCGGGAGGACUUCUACGCCGCCCGCCCGCCGCACCCCUCCGCCCCGGCGGCCCGGGCCCUCAAGCGGGCCGCCGACUUCGCCUUCUCCUUCCUCCCCGACGACUCCGCCUGCUGGAGCCCCCGCGACGCGCGCGACGGCCGCGUGCUCUUCUCCGCGGUCCCCAGCUCCCACGGCCGCGGCAGCUUCGCCGACGCCACCUCCACCACCUUCGUCGACCUCGUCGUCGCCGACCCGCUCUCCCGCCGCUGCGUCCGCGUGCCGCCCGUGCCCGACGACCUGGCCGCCCCCGUCCUGCGGUGGGGCAUGCUCGACUUCGAGCCCUUCCUCGCGCCGGCCAGCGCCGAGGACCUGCGCGACGAGGGCGCGCCCUUCAGGGUCAUCGGCAAGGUGCUGUGCGAGGACAGGGUCGCCGUGUUCGCCUUCUCCUCGCGCACCGGCGAGUGGCGCAGCCACGGCUCGAGCGAGCUGUCCAACGACUUUGCGCUGGACGCGCUGUAUGAGCGGCGUCACUACGUGCAGGGCUGCUUCUGCUGGCUGCUGGAGUGGAUGGAAAAGCUGCUCAUGCUCGACGCCGGCGCGAUGGAGUUCUUGAUUGUCGACCUCCCGCCCGGCAAUGACGAGAGGCGGUUCGCCAUUUUGGAGGCAGGGCAAGGCAGGAUUGGGCUGCUGAAUAUUGGGAGGAACACAUUGGACUUGUACUAUAAGGCCUGGCCUGGCAAACGCAAUGGCGAGUGGCAACACGAAACGAAAGAGCACCCACUGCCUGACUAUCACUGGCGCAUCAUAGGUUCUGAUGAGGAGUACUUGCUCCUCAGAGGGAUCUCACUUGAUUGGCCCUGGUUUGGGAGCGCUUCAUCGGAGAGUCCGGAUAUUGAGUAUUUUGCACUGGAGCUCAAGGCAUUGCAACUCGAGAGGAUGUACGUGUCCAAGCACAAAAUGUUGCAUGCUCACCUGUAUAGGGGCUACCCGCCGCAGAUCUCGGCCCCAACUCUAUGAACUGGUAAACUUGCUACCGUAUCAUCCUCUUGUUUUCAGCAGUUGGGGGGACAGAGUUUCCGUUGCUUUGAAAGCCAUAUUUGUUAUUCCCUCUGUCCACAAAAUUACAUUGUAUUAGACCAUUAGCCAUGGGCACAAACCACACAAUAACUAUUGGAUAGGCUAAAAGUAUCAUCAUUCCUUUCUCUUGCUCCAAAGUUCCCCUGCAUGUUUUCUUUCCAAGGAGGCAAGGUUUGCUGGUUCAUGGGAGUAAUAGUUUUGGGCAUAAUAGGAAAUCUGGAGGAGAAGUGCCUACAAAAUUGUCAACUGAGCACAUUGAAGGACAAAAAUUCCCUAAGUGAACUACAUUUGUUUCUAAGGGAGUAAUUAACUAGCUGUGUGCACUUCUCCUUUUUCUUUUCUUUAGUUCCUACAUGGGCAUUUUCAUGGCUGCAACACAUGUAACACACAAAUCCAUGCCAAAGAUAUAUCAACAAAAAUGGUGCUGGUGCCAUUUACAUACUCUGUUUUUUUUUUAAUAUAGAGCAGUAGGAGCCUCUCCUGCUGUAACUUCUCAAAAAAGAAGGUUAAUAUUGUUUUUGCAAACAUACAAGCACCACCAUUGUCUUGUUGUAACUCAUUAUUGUUAAUGAUUCAGUACUGUAUGACAUCCAUGGUUGAGAACUGCUAAUUUGCACUACUGGUUUCAGGUUUACAACAUUGCUAUCACUUUUACAUCGCUGCCAUACAGCCUAUGACAACUAUUAUCUCAUUAACUCUUUUAGUAAAUUUGAUAUGGUAGAUGAAAACAACUUGGUAUUAUUGCUUCACUUAUCCGGUAGUGAGCAAAUGGAGAGAGUUUUAAUCGAUUUUAAAGCAAUGUUCAGGAUAUUGGGGCGUGUUUGGUUUCCUGGGCCGCACCCGCCUCGCAUCCGCCGUGCAAAAUCGAAUGUGUUUGGUGUCCUGUGCGGCGUGCUCAGCCUGGCCCGCGGAUGCAAAAGGAGCCCUCUCAGCCAGGCUGAGAGGAACGCAGAAAUCGGCCGUAUCUCCGAGCCUGGCCCGCGUUUGCAUCCUUUUCCUCCCGUGUCUUCUUUUUCUCUUCUCUCUCACGCAUCAGAUCGAGCACCCAACCCACCACCGCCGCCACCGUCGAAGCUCCCUCCCCCACCACCGGUCCGGGCUCCCUCGUCCGCCACCCAUACAGGCUCCGUCGCCGGUGCUCCUCCACGCCGACGCCGGGGGCCUCGCCCACCACCGGUCCGAGCUCCCUCUCCGCCUCGCCUUGGCAUCGUCGGGUUCCACAGCCGCCUCGUCCACCACCGGUCCGAGCUCCCUCGCCGGUGUUCCACCACACCACGCCGGGGGCCACGCCGUCUGCCACUAAUCGAGAGGAAGAAGGGGGAGGGGAGCACGUGCCCGCUGCGAGCCGCAAAGGGAGCCGCGUUUCUGCCCCGUCGCUCCCAAUCCUUCUGGUGAGCGUAGUCGAGUCUUGCCGUUGGCGUCUCCUACCUGCUGCCCAUCUACGCCCCAGCCAACUCGUCGCCCUCCACCUCGUUUGUUCAGAUUUUAGUUCAUACUUGUUUGGUUCAGAUUUUGAUAUAUAACACUGAAACUUGAGGUUGGUUCAGACUUGUUUCUUUAGUUCAGACAAGUUUUUUGAUAAAUAAAACUGAAACUUGAGUUUUGUUCAGAUUUUAGUUCAGACUUGUUUUACAGGUUCUCUUUGUCCAUGGAAUGAUUCAAAUUCAUUUGAAAUGAUUCAAAUUGGAAGAGAAAAAAGUUCCCAAAAUUCACAAUAUUAAGCUCAAAUGCAGCCUACCAAACAACAUCUUUUGUAUAUAGCAUCCCUCAUGCACUAAUAUUAUGCAGCCCACCAAACACACAUCUCAGCUCCUCUUUGCAUCACCUCAACCAGGCCACGCUCAACCAGGUUCCCCCAUGCGAUGCAGGCUAGAGACACCCAGGCAACCAAACACGCCCUUGGUAACUGGUACCAUCUCGGUUGGGUGCUGAAUAGGGAUUAAUCGGUGAAUUGGACAUUUAACUGAAUUUAUCGGUAGGUUAACUAGGGCCAUACCAAACAUAUAGCUAAAUAUUUGUGUUAGCCAUAUUCUGCUUGUCCCUCUACAAUCCUUUUUGUCUUUUCUUUCUGCAUAAGUCACAUUUGGGCUGUCCUCACCGCUGCUAAGCUGAAGCCCAUUCAGCCCACUAGGGUUGCAGCGGUGUGUCUGUAAAAGAACCCCCUGUGCAGCCACUUUCCUUCUCUCUUCCUUCUUCCCCUUCUCCAGCCGCCACCUUCUUCCUCUCUUCUCUUUCCCUUCCCAGAGCAUGUUCCCAGCUCCUGCUUCCUCUCAUCCUCUGUCUCACACCGCCUAUCAUCUCUCUGCUUCUCUCCACCCUGAGGAAGCUGCGCUGCCCGUGGGAACUGACUGGUGGCUGCUUGAAUCGUGAACGGGAGAGGAGAGGAGGAUGAGGGGGAGCCCGAAAGUCCACAAAGGGCAAUGGUCUCAGGUUGGAAAUUGAGUGGUGGCGUGUUGUCUAUCCUUGGUCCUUGAAUGUGGAGAAUUGGCUACAGAACUGUGAACAGAGCACAUUGAAGGACAAAAGACUAGAGCACAUUGAAGGCUACAUAUCCUUCGUCCUGUGUAUUGCCGCUGGAGAAGUGGUGAAUGAGUUGGUGUGGUUCUCUGACGGCAAGAAGCGUGUCAGUGGAGGCCGGAAGUUUGCCGGUGGCGGCAGAUGGUGGAAGUCAGGAUGGCCGCUGCGAAGGGAUGCCCAACCUUAUGUGCCAGUUGGGCGUUAUCGGGCGGCAGCGAUCUUUCUUGAGCUGCGUCUUGACCCACAGUUUGUCUACAUCGACUUACGUUGGCCGUGUUUGCUGGCUUAGGUCAUUCUAUAUAUUCUCACCAUCCUGAAGCAUGUUUUGGAGAGUCCGCUUUGGCGCUGAAGUUUGUAGUAAUUUGCAGGAUACUAGAUCCAACUUGAUAAGUGUGGCAACCCUGGUUUUUAACCCCACUGCUGGCAGCAUGUGAGACCAGCUCAGCUGGUGAGCUAACAUUGAGAGAGUUUAUGCCCAGUUCAGUGGUUUGUGGCUCUGGUUUCUUUCCGACCUGGUGCAGUGGAGGCCGUUUAUUCAUGGGCAGAGUCCCAACUCCACCAAGUCAUGGAGAUGACCUUUUGGUAGCCAGCGUGUAUGCAUGUAUUAGAGUAUGUAUUAUGUAUGUAACCUGGAUGGCCUUGUUGUAUCUUGUUGUUGUUGUUGUUGUUGUUGUUGUUGAGAAACAGCCUUGUUGUAACCUUUUUGUUGUUGUUGUUGUUGAGAAACAACCUUGUUGUAUCUUUUUGUUGUUGUUGAGAAACAGCCUUGUUGUAUCUUGGUGUGUUAAUGCAGUUUAGCGACAAUCUAUCGUA